ensembl:lncRNA
AUAGGGCUGCUAAUUAUCUUUGACUUUGCAGUAUUGGCCUGACCCCCAACACGGAACAGAAGAAAUGGAUCAGUGUUGAGAGAAUUACGUACAUCGCACACUGACAGCCUCCGCCCAGAAGAAUAUGUGAGACAACUGCAAAUCAGAAACUAAAUGACAUUAUAGUUUGCCAGACCCUAGUCAGCACCAUUCUGCUUUCUGCUUUUAUGAUUCAGCCUUAGAAAAGAAGUACAUCUUGCCAUCUGUGACAACAUGAGUGAACCCGGAGGACAUGAUGCUACGUGAAGUGAACCAGUCAUAGAAGGACAAAUACUGUGUGAUUCCACUUACAUGCAUAUGGAAGUGUAUGCAUAACAGUCACACUCACAGAAACAGAGAGUGAGAAAUGUUU